rnacentral:Y_RNA from 1 species
GGCUGGUCUGAAGGUAGUGAAUUAUCUCAAUCGAUUGUUCACAGUCAGUUACAGAUCGAACUCCUUGUUCUACUCUUUCCCCCUUCUCACUACUGCACUUAACUAGUCUUAA